rnacentral:rRNA from 1 species
UACAUAGGGGGCAAGCGUUGUCCGGAUUUACUGGGCGUAAAGAGCUCGUAGGCGGUUUACCAAGUCGGAAGUGAAAUCUCCAUGCUCAACAUGGAGCGGCCUUUCGAUACUGGUAUGACUUGAGUAUGGUAGAGGAGUGUGGAAUUCCCGGUGUAGCGGUGAAAUGCGCAGAUAUCGGGAGGAACACCUAUGGCGAAGGCAGCACUCUGGGCCAAAACUGACGCUGAGGAGCGAAAGCGUGGGGAGCGAACAGG